rnacentral:rRNA from 1 species
UAAUACGUAGGGUGCAAGCGUUAAUCGGAAUUAUUGGGCGUAAAGGGUGCGCAGGCGGUGCUGUAAGUCAGAUGUGAAAUCCCCGGGCUUAACCUGGGAAUUGCGUUUGAAACUGCAGUGCUAGAGUGUGAUAGAGGAGAGUGGAAUUCCAUGUGUAGCAGUGAAAUGCGUAGAGAUGUGGAAGAACACCAAUGGCGAAGGCAGCUCUCUGGAUUAACACUGACGCUCAUGCACGAAAGCGUGGGGAGCAAACAGGAUUAGAUACCCUGGUAGUCCACGCCCUAAACUAUGUCAACUAGUUGUCGGAUCUGUUUAAGGAUUUGGUAACGAAGCUAACGCAUGAAGUUGACCGCCUGGGAAGUACGGUCGCAAGAUUAAAACUCAAAUGAAUUGACGG